AAACAGGAUUCUGACGCAUAAUGAUAAAAUAAAAUAAGAUGAAAAGAAAACUAACACAUUGGAAUAGGAAAAAGGAAAAAAAAAAAAGAGUCCAAGAAAAGGCACAAGAAAAAAGUAUGGCUGCAGAGAUCCACUUGUUCACACAUUCAGGACUAGAAGCCAUAAUAUAUUCACAAAGUGCCUACAGGGUAAAGAGAGAAAAAUAUCUAGACAAAAUUAAGAAGAUAAAAAAAAGAUAAAAUUUAGAAAAAGAAAGGAAAAGUCCUGACAUGACAUUAUGAGACAAAGACUUACAAAGAUGCCAUUGAUUUCGUUAUCUUUGGGCCAUCUACUGCUGGGCUGCAGUCUAUCCUUAAGAAUAGUUUGUUUCCCCUUGGAGAAAACUUUACAUUUGCAAGUUUUUAUCAAUUGGAGACAGCUUCUGGCUUAGGGAUGGGGUCAUGUGUCUACUUCUUCAGCUCUAGGACUGUAUCUGGUAUAGACGCAUGCAGGGCAGGCCAUACAUCUCUCUGAGUUCAUGUGUGCUUUGAUUCUGUUGGCUUGGCUUUGUCUCAUUGGUGUCUUCUGUUCCUUAUGGCUCUUACACUCUUGGCUCUUGUGCAGAGUUUCCGAGCCCUGACUACAGAGAUUUAUUGGAGAUGUUCUCUCUAGGGCUGAGUGUUCCAAGGUAUCUCAGUCUCCAUUAUGUCUGGCUGUGACUCUGUAUUUGUUCCCAGUCAGCUGUAGGGGGAAGCUUCCCAGAUGAUGGCUGAGGAAGGCACUGAUCAGUUUCCCUGGCUGGAGUGGCGAGUGUUGUUUUCAUAGUGUGUUCUUACAUAGCUUUGUAAAAAUUCUAGUGUCAGCUAGAAAAAAAUGAUUCUCAAUUUUUGUGCAGCAAAAUUUAUCUGUAGUAGUCACUAAACACAGAUAAAAAUUAUUUCAAGGAUUAGUAUAUGCAUUUGUCUUAGUUUUCUAUUGCUGUGAUGAAAAACACGAACAAAAGCAAGUUGGGGAGGAAAUGGUUGAUUCUGUUUACUCUUUCACGUUAUAGUCAUCAGUGGAGGAAAUCAGGACAGGAAUCUAAGCAGGGCAGGAACCUGGAGGCAGAAGCUGAUGCAGAGGCCAUGUGCUGCUUACUGGGUUGUUUUAUAAGACCUGCUCAGCCUUCAUUUUUAUAGAACCCAGGACCAUCAGUCCAGGAACGGCACCACCCACAAUGGGCUGGGCCGCUCUCCAUUGAUCACUAAUUGAGAAAAUGCCUUAGAGAUGGAGCUCAUGGAUGCAUUUCUGCAACUGAGGCUCCUUCCUUCCUCUCUGAUGACUCUAACUUGUGUCGAGUUGACACACAAAACUAGUCCACUGUUUUCCAUUCAUUUCACAGUUAUAGUAGUACUUCCAUGUUUUAUUCAUAUGACUGACUAAUAACGCUAUGGAAGCUGUAUCAUUAUCAUCCUUUACUGGAACACUUAUACUUGAAAUUAAGUUAUUUAGUAACAGGGUCUUCAAACUAGUAAUUAGGGAAAAUUUUCAUUUCUUGCUUCUUCGUGGCAUUUCCUUACUUCUGUUUGUAUGCUGAAGCUAUUACUCAAUAUCUUUCCAUUGUAGCUUGUAUCAUAUGCAAUUUUUAAAUAAAUAUUGUUAUUAAAAAACUUGUUAAAAUAUGUCUUGAGUGUAUAGAUGCAGUACCCAUAACUAUGGGUUAUUUGCUCUUUGUUCCUUUUAAAUGGCAUCAGCUUGUUAAUGAAGUGCAACCUUGAGUCUCUGUAAUAUUGUUCAGGUUCAGCCUUUAAUCUCUGUAAUACUGUACAUGUGGUUAGGAGCAGCCCUGAGACCCUAUGCUGUUGUGUAGGUGGGUAGGUUCAGCCCUGAGUAUCAUAUGGUGUAGGUGGGGUAGGUAGGCGCAGCCCUACAUCUGUAGUAUUGUACAGGUGUGUAGGUGUGUUGCUCUCAUAGCUUUUGUGCUCCAUACUUUGUAAGAAGAAAAUACAGUACGAAACUUUUUUUUUUUUAAAUCACUCUUGAGUUUGGUAAGGUGAAAUUAGCUUAGGUUUAAGUUAGAAGGCUCCAGUGUCAAUUUAUGAUUUUAUUUACAGAAUUUGGCAUGUUAGUGUUAGGUGAAAAACAGAUAUGAUCCUUUGAGAGAUGUGUUUAGUAAAAUAGGACCUGGAUUUAUUCAUUGAUUUUAAUUUAUGUGAUAGGAACUUCAGAUAGUUUUUGAUGAAUAGAAGAUGUUCUGUUAUAUAUAAGUAUAAGACUAUGUUUUUAUGCUCACAGCUAGGAUUUAUGAUCACAGCUGAAUAGAGUUUGGGAAUAACGAUUCAGAUUUUUUUUUUCUAUUUUGAUUAUGGUAAAAUAAACACAAAUUCAUUUUCGCUUUCGAAAAUAAUUCCUGAAAAUUAUACCCAGCAAAGUCAUUUACUAGAACCUGUGUUUUAAAUGACUGAACUAAAAACAACAGCC
rnacentral:lncRNA from 1 species